CGAAAUGCGAUAAGUAAUGUGAAUUGCAGAAUUCAGUGAAUCAUCGAAUCUUUGAACGCACAUUGCGCCCGCCAGUAUUCUGGCGGGCAUGCCUGUUCGAGCGUCAUUUCAACCAUCAAGCCCCCGGCUUGUGUUGGGGACCUGCGGCUGCCCGCAGGCCCUGAAAACCAGUGGCGGGCUCGCUGUCACACCGAGCGUAGUAGCAUACAUCUCGCUCAGGGCGUGCUGCGGGUUCCGGCCGUUAAAAGCCUUUUUUACCCAAGGUUGACCUCGGAUCAGGUAGGAAGACCCGCUGAACUUAAGC
rnacentral:misc_RNA from 1 species